AUUGAACGCUGGCGGCAGGCUUAACACAUGCAAGUCGAGCGAGCGGCGGACGGGUGAGUAAUGUCUGGGAAUCUGCCUGAUGGAGGGGGAUAACUACUGGAAACGGUAGCUACUACCGCAUACCAUCAGAUGUUCCCAGCUGGGAUUAGCUAGUAGGUAGGGUAAUGGCUCACCUAGGCGACGAUCCCUAGCUGGUCUGCGAGGCUGACCAGCCACCCUGGAACGGAGACAGGGUCCUGCCUCCUACGGCAGGCAGCAGUGGGGAAUAUUGCACAAUGGGCUCAAGCCUGAUGCAGCCAUGCCGCGUGUGUGAAGAAGGCCUUCGGGUUGUAAAGCACUUUCAGCGAGGAGGCGUUACUCGCAGAAGAAGCACCGGCUAACUCCGUGCCAGCAGCCGCGGUAAUAC
rnacentral:rRNA from 1 species